CACAUUUAGUGGGAAAGAGAGCUAUGGGAAUUAAAUUUGGCCAUACUUUGGACUUAAAUACUGAAUGAAUGAAUGAAUGAAUGAAUGAAUACAAAGCAGACCAGAUAAGAACUAGGAGAAAGAAUGAAGAGGUGGAGUGUGUUACUCUUGGGGCUGGAAUGAGCAUGGCAUGUGCGGAGAUGGCACUGAAGCCAACGUCUGGGCCCCAAAGCCGGUGCAGGCUCUGCUGUCAUCGUCAGGACUCCUUGUGGGCUGUGGGGCUGGCCACUCCUUGGCCCUCUGCCAGCUGCCAGCUCACCCUGCAUUGGUCCAGGACUCCAGGGUCACCUACCUUUCCCCAGAUGCCAUCGAGGACACUGAAUCUCAGGAAGCCAUGGACAAAGAGAGAAACUGGGAGGAAAGACAAUCAGAAACUUCAACCCAAAGCCAAUCUGACUGGUCCAGAAAUGGGGGACUGUGAUAGAGAAUCUUUAAUAAAAUGGCUUUUCCCACC
rnacentral:sRNA from 1 species